UCGCAAUCCGCCAACCGGUCAAGCCGUGUCGCGGAAGGUUGUUCAACCAGCCACAGCCCUGGAAACCGGGGUGAAAGGUGAGCG
rfam:[Polyangium] brachysporum strain DSM 7029, complete genome.